rnacentral:rRNA from 1 species
AACGAACGCUGGCGGCGUGCCUAACACAUGCAAGUCGAACGGAGAUAAGAAGCUUGCUUCUUAUUUUAGUGGCGCACGGGUGAGUAACGCGUGGAUAAUCUACCUGAUGCUCUGGGAUAACAUCUCGAAAGGGGUGCUAAUACCGGAUAAGCCCACGAUCUCUUCGGAGAAUGCGGGAAAAGGAGGGGACCUUCGGGCCUUCCGACGUCAGAUGAGUCCGCGUCCCAUUAGCUAGUUGGCGGGGUAAUGGCCCACCAAGGCUACGAUGGGUAGCUGGUCUGAGAGGAUGAUCAGCCACACUGGAACUGAGACACGGUCCAGACUCCUACGGGAGGCAGCAGUGGGGAAUUUUGCGCAAUGGGGGAAACCCUGACGCAGCAACGCCGCGUGAGUGAUGAAGGCUUUCGGGUCGUAAAGCUCUGUCAGAAGGGAAGAAAUGUAGGUGGCUAAUAUCCAUUCUACUUGACGGUACCUUCAAAGGAAGCACCGGCUAACUCCGUGCCAGCAGCCGCAGUAAAAC